GACGAACGCUGGCGGCGUGCUUAACACAUGCAAGUCGAACGGAAAGGCCCUGCUUUUGUUGGGUGCUCGAGUGGCGAACGGGUGAGUAACACGUGAGUAACCUGCCCUUGACUUUGGGAUAACUUCAGGAAACUGGGGCUAAUACCGGAUAGGAGCUCCUGCUGCAUGGUGGGGGUUGGAAAGUUUCGGCGGUGGGGGAUGGACUCGCGGCUUAUCAGCUUGUUGGUGGGGUAGUGGCUUACCAAGGCUUUGACGGGUAGCCGGCCUGAGAGGGUGACCGGCCACAUUGGGACUGAGAUACGGCCAAGACUCCUACGGGAGGCAGCAGUGGGGAAUAUUGACCAAUGGGCGGAAGCCUGAUGCAGCAACGCCGCGUGCGGGAAGACGGCCUUCGGGUUGUAAACCGCUUUCGCAUGUGACGAAGCGUGAGUGACGGUAAUGGGUAAAGAAGCACCGGCUAACUACGUG
rnacentral:rRNA from 1 species